GACGAACGCUGGCGGCGCGCUUAACACAUGCAAGUCGAACGGAAAGGCCUGCUUUCCCUUGUGGAUUGCGGGUACUCGAGUGGCGAACGGGUGAGUAACACGUGAGUGAUCUGCCCCCAACUUGGGUAUAAGCCUGGGAAACUGGGUCUAAUUCCCGAUAGGACUGCAGGGUGGUGCCUGUGGUGGAAAACGAUUUUCUAGUGGUUGGGGAUGAGCUCGCGGCCUAUCAGCUUGUUGGUGGGGUAAUGGCCUACCAAGGCGGCGACGGGUAGCCGGCCUGAGAGGGUGGACGGCAACAGUGGGACUGAGAUACGGCCAAGACUCCUACGGGAGGCAGCAGGGGGGAAUAUGGCACAAUGGGCGGAAGCCUGAUGCAGCGACGCCGCGUGGGGGAUGACGGCCUUCGGGUUGUAAACUCCUUUCGACCGCGAGGAAGCCACCUGGUUGGAAGGGUGGUGACGGUAGUGGUAGAAGAAGCACCGGCUAACUACGUG
rnacentral:rRNA from 1 species